UGUGUGUGUGUGUGUGAGAGAGAGAGAGAAAAGCUGGCAGCGUGUUAUUCUGAGAAACCGAUACAGCUGUACUUAGGAGCCAAGUUUUAAUUUGAAAGAUGAAGAUUUCUCCCUCAGAAGUUGCAGAAUUAAGGGGACCUGGCACAGUGUUGCUUUCGUUGAAGCCUUAACUCAUGAGUGCAAACCAGUGCCCAGCAUGAAAUGGCAAGUCACGAGAGUCAAAUUUUCACCAAAGAUGCCAGCAUUGCUCGCUCAGCCAGCAAUUAUUGUCUAUACCCAAUUGCCAUGAGGUGGUGAUAAUGAGAUGAGCU